rnacentral:Y_RNA from 1 species
GGCUAAUCUAAAGGUAGUGAGUUAUCUUGAUUGUUGUAGUCAGUCAUGGAUUGAACUCCUUGUUAUAUACACUUUCUCCCCUCUUAACUGCUGUACCUGACUAGUCAAAC